rnacentral:pre_miRNA from 1 species
UCUUAUGGAUGAGCAAAGAAAGUGGUUUCUUGAGGUGGAAACUACUCCUGAUGAGGACACUGUGAA